UACGUAGGGUCCGAGCGUUGUCCGGAAUUAUUGGGCGUAAAGAGCUCGUAGGCGGUUUGUCGCGUCUGCUGUGAAAUCCCGAGGCUCAACCUCGGGUCUGCAGUGGGUACGGGCAGACUGGAGUGCGGUAGGGGAGAAUGGAAUUCCUGGUGUAGCGGUGGAAUGCGCAGAUAUCAGGAGGAAUACCGGUGGCGAAAGCGACUCUCUGGACGGCAACUGACGCUGAGGCACGAAAGCGUGGGGAGCAAACAGG
rnacentral:rRNA from 1 species